rnacentral:lncRNA from 1 species
AUUAGUUUCUAGAUGUCCUUUCCGACAAAUUUUUUAGGAGCUUCCUUGCUCUUCGUAUAUUUCGGGUUGAAUAUGAUUCCCCUAGCACGCUUUCCUGAUUUAUCAAUACUUUGGGAGCCCAUAAUUGUUGAAUGCAACAUCGAUGCCUCUAUUGCUUGGAAUUCAAUCCACUCCAUAAUUCCAUUGGAUCGAGAUUCGUCGUGUGCUACCAAGUCAGCUAACUUCGUAAUUACAUUGCACAUUUGCUCAUAUCUAACCUGGUCUGGAGUACUAAUCCAA